UACGUAGGGUGCAAGCGUUUGGUCCGGAAUUAUUGGGCGUAAAGAGCUGCGUAGGCGGUUUAUCGCGUCUGCUGUGAAAACUCGGGGCUUAACCCCGGGCCUGCAGUGGGUACGGGCAGACUAGAGUGCGGUAGGGGAGACUGGAAUUCCUGGUGUAGCGGUGAAAUGCGUAGAUAUCAGGAGGAACACCGGUGGCGAAGGCGGGUCUCUGGGCCGAUACUGACGCUGAGGAGCGAAAGCGUGGGGAGCGAACAGG
rnacentral:rRNA from 1 species